UACGUAGGUGGCAAGCGUUGUCCGGAUUUACUGGGCGUAAAGAGCGCGCAGGCGGUCGUCCAAGUCGCGUGUGAAAGCCCCCGGCUCAACUGGGGAGGGUCACGCGAUACUGGUCGACUCGAAGGCAGGAGAGGGUAGUGGAAUUCCCGGUGUAGUGGUGAAAUGCGUAGAUAUCUGGAGGAACACCGGUGGCGAAGGCGGCAUCCUGGACCGGCAUUGACGCUGAGGCGCGAAAGCCAGGGGAGCAAACGGG
rnacentral:rRNA from 1 species